UUUUUGAAUGGAAUGUGUUUAUUUUAAGCUCAUGUGGUGUGUUUCCAAUCAUUUUUACUGUGAAAUUUGGGAGUGUGCAUUUGGAAAUGCUUCACCUAAUCUCAGCCAAGUAAAUGAGAGUUUUCCUUCUGUUGAAGACAGGGAACUUCACAUAGUGCGUUGUAUUGGAAUCCACCAAAGGCACUGUUUGUUAGCUUUCAGACUGCAAUGAGAAAAUAAGACUCAAGGGCCUGAAGUUCUAACUAGUCAAAGAACCUAGAUUUUGUAUGAUGGGAAAGCUCUUUUGAAACCCAAGUUUGUGAGCUCCUUUUUAAGCUAAGAAACAAAUGUCACUUCUUAUAACAACACACCCAAUAGAUGGAAAAAAAACAAUAUAUGUUGUUUCAUAAGCAUCAUAUGCUUUGAGUGGAUGCUACCUUCCUAAGAUGAAACAAAAACCUUGAAAUUAAUAUUCCAUCUCUCUGGAUGCUCUUCUCAAUAAACAUAAUAAAAGAACCUGUAUAAAUUUAAACUUAAUUAAGAAUUUCUCCCACUUUGUUUUCUAACUUCCUCCUUAUCUUACUGUGAAGGGACAUUUCAACAAAGCAAUUACAUUCCACAAAGCUGCUUAUUAAAUACAAUUGUAACAUAUUUCUUUAACUGUGAUCAGUCUAGGAAAUUAAAACUAUAAUUUCUGAUUUCCACAGCGCAUUCAACACGUUUUCAUCUUCAUUGUUUCUACGCUGCAUGCCACGGUCAUCUAUCAUGGGGCAUCUAUACCCGGUUUCUCUCUGACUUCCCUGCUUCUACUGUCACCUCCGUCCUUCUUUCUGUAGCGAUCAGAGCCAUCAGUCUACUUCUUUCCUUAACACUCAUUGUGCUGUGAAUAAAAUUUAAAGUCCUUGCCUUGGCUGAAAGGCCGUAUGUGAUCUUGCCUCUAGCAUUCCUCUCUGAAUUCUUUUCCUACCACUCUCUCCUGGGUCUUGGCAAACUGUAGCCUUCUUAGCCAGACGUUCUCUGUGACCUCUG
rnacentral:lncRNA from 1 species